UCCUUUAUGCUGUAUCUUCGAUCCUGGUGAACUGCACAAACAGUUAUGAUGUCAAGGAGAAAAUCCCAGAGCUGGUCGAGUUGGCAAAAUUGUCAAAACAGCAUGUACCUGAAGACCAUCCAAAGGAUAAAAAAGACUUUGUGAUGAUGCGUGUCAAGCGUUUGAUCAAAGCUGGCAUUGUCUCUGCCCUUGCUGUCAUGCUGAAGGCAGACAGUGCCAUUCUAACAGACCAGACCAAGGAGCUUAUGGCUAGGGUGUUCCUUGCAUUGGUUGAAGAUGUUAGAGAUCGUGGCAAAGUUGUGGCACAAGGUGGUGGAAAG